AUCCCGAGUGCUCAUACAAUGUAUGGGCUUUUCUUAUGUGUAAAUAGCAUGAGGAAUAAGGGCUGGGUAAGACCGGUGCCAGCCGCCGCGGUAAUACCGGCAGCUCUAGUGGUAGCCACUUUUAUUGGGCCUAAAGCGUCCGUAGCCGGUCGGGUAAAUCCUUGGGUAAAUCGUACAGCUUAACUGUGCGGCUUCCGGGGAGACUGCCUGACUUGGGACCGGGAGAGGUUGGAGGUACUCCUGGGGUAGGGGUGAAAUCCUGUAAUCCUAGGUGGACCACCGGUGGCGAAGGCGUCCAACCAGAACGGCUCCGACGGUGAGGGACGAAGGCUAGGGGCGCAAACCGGAUUAGAUACCCGGGUAGUCCUAGCUGUAAACGCUGCAGACUUGGUGUUGGAGAUCCCACGAGGGUGUCCAGUGCCGGAGAGAAGUUGUUAAGUUUGCCGCCUG
rnacentral:rRNA from 1 species